CUCAGGACGAACGCUGGCGGCGUGCUUAACACAUGCAAGUGGUGCGACGAACCAGGGCUUGCCCUGGGGCCAAGCCGCGAACGGGUGAGUAACACGUGAGUAACCUGCCCCGAUGACCGGGACAACCCGAGGAAACUCGGGCUAAUACCGGAUGUGGCGCACAAUCGCAAGUUUGUGCGCUAAAGGAAGCUUCGGCCUCCGCAUUGGGAGGGGCUCGCGGCCCAUUAGCUUGUUGGUGGGGUAACGGCCUACCAAGGCAACGAUGGGUAGCUGGUCUGAGAGGAUGAUCAGCCACACUGGAACUGAGACACGGUCCAGACUCCUACGGGAGGCAGCAGUGGGGAAUUUUGCGCAAUGGGGGAAACCCUGACGCAGCAACGCCGCGUGAGUGAUGAAGGCCUUCGGGUCGUAAAGCUCUGUCAGAGGGGAAGAAAUGAUGAGGUGUUAAUACCAUCUCUUCUUGACGGUACCCUCAAAGGAAGCACCGGCUAACUCCGUGCUAGCAGCCGCGGUAAUAC
rnacentral:rRNA from 1 species